rnacentral:tRNA from 2 species
GGGGGUGUCGCAUAGUGGCCAAUUGCAUCGGACUGUAAAUCCGACGACGUACGUCUACGUUGGUUCGAAUCCAACCACCCCCA